AGUGAACGCUGGCGGUAGGCCUAACACAUGCAAGUCGAACGGCAGCACAGUAAGAGCUUGCUCUUACGGGUGGCGAGUGGCGGACGGGUGAGGAAUACAUCGGAAUCUACUUUUUCGUGGGGGAUAACGUAGGGAAACUUACGCUAAUACCGCAUACGACCUACGGGUGAAAGCAGGGUAUCUUCGUACCUUGCGCGAUUUAAUGAGCCGAUGUCGGAUUAGCUAGUUGGCGGGGUAAAGGCCCACCAAGGCGACGAUCCGUAGCUGGUCUGAGAGGAUGUUCAGCAAAACUGGAAUGGAGAAACGGUCAAGACUCCUACGGGAGGAGGAAGAGGGGAACAUUGGAAAAGGGGGGAAAGCCGGAAGAAGAAAGACCGGGGAGUGAAAGAAGGCUUUCGGGUUGAAAAGUCUGUUGGUAGGGAAAGAAAAGCAGCAGGUUAAAACCCCGAUGAAGUGACGGUAACCAAAGAAUAAGCAACGGCUAACUUCGUG
rnacentral:rRNA from 1 species